rnacentral:rRNA from 1 species
UACGGAGGAUCCGAGCGUUAUCCGGAUUUAUUGGGUUUAAAGGGUGCGCAGGCGGGGGGUUAAGUCGGCGGUGAAAUUUUGCAGCUCAACUGUAAGAGUGCCGUCGAUACUGGUCCCCUUGAGUGUGGAUGAGGUAGGCGGAAUUUGUGGUGUAGCGGUGAAAUGCAUAGAUAUCACGAGGAACUCCGAUUGCGCAGGCAGCUUACUAAACCAUAACUGACGCUCAGGCACGAAAGCGUGGGGAUCAAACAGGAUUAGAUACCCCCGUAGU